GUUUUACUAGAAUUACAAUUCACCAAAUCUUAUUGAGGGGUGGGGUAAGAAGAAAACCUGAAGGCAGGCAAUGCAUUAAAAGCAUCAAUAGAGAUUUCUGGUGCUAAUAAAGUUCACUGACAAUAAGAACUUUACUUUCUUCCACCUAAAGAAGUUUCCUUAAGUACUAACUUUUAAAAGUCCAUCCUGUCAUGAUAUGAGCCUGUUCACUGAACCGUGAGGAACAAGGAUGAAAAAUAAGAAUAGAAAGAGUAUGGUUCAGCCUGAGUCUAAGUGGUCUGGUGUUUUAUGAUGACUCUACCAAAUGUUUAAUUUAAAGUCUUAAUUUCUUAUUUUUAAUUAUAAUGUUGCCAACUGUCUGACUGACCUUGAAGGAUCAGGGAUUUUUCCACGACUCUAACUGAACACAAGAUCCUUCUCAGACGGGGAGAAUGAAGUGACAACAGUGUGUCGAUCUGCGCAAGUUGUGCAGCUACUGAAGGAGAAGCAGGAACACAACAGGGAAUGCAGACGCCUACCAGGAAAUCGAUGUGAACUGCUCUCAAUUAUGCAGCAAAUACUAAGAAGAAAGGACAAUGCUGAAUUCAAAUUCAGUUAAAGGCAGUCCUCAGGCUCUUUCAAGCUAGCCCUAGAUGGCAAGUGUGUCCUGAGACAGGUUUCUCUACUGGGUUUCAGCACGGGGCUUUACCAUCCUUCAGAUCUUUUCUAAAGACAAAAAUGACAAAGUCUAUAGAUGGAAGAGGGGGUAAUGAAGCAGGGAAGGGGAAAAAGAUGCUGAUUUGUUUACUUUUAUUAUCUUUUUUUAAAUGUGGUCAGGGGUUUUAUAGUAUUUUUUGUUUAAUCUUUUUGGUUAUUGAAAAAAAUAGAACAGUCCACUGUCCAGCAGAGGCUGCUUCAACUCUAUUGCUCGCAGGGCUCAUUCUGCAUGGAUCUGUGUUUCAGGAUGCUGCAAGGACAACUCUGCAGGCAGGAAGGCCCCUUGACCCAACGCUGUAGCAUAGGUCCUGCUCUGUGGAUGGGGAAAGCCAGGGGGCACGUACGUCCCCAUGCCGCCCCCUCCAAAGACUCCUCGCUGGUGCUGAGGCAGGGAGUGGUAAUCUUCCAGGUUAUCAUACUGGGACACAACAGUCACACUGCUCUGGCGCUUGCCGUGUGGUUGGUACUGGUACAGCACACUGGGGUCCCUCUCCACGUUCUGGGUAUGAUGGAGUUUGAGGCUAUGACUCCUCUCUGGUUUAGGGGGUGGGACGAUUGACUGAGUGAGGUGUUCUUCCUCCUUGUAGCAGUCUCUGGAGUGUUUCUCUGGGGCAGAAGGCUGCCUAACCCAGGGUCGCUCCAUCUCUUUGGAGAGCCUUACCUCUUUGUGGUUCAGUCUUAAAGAUUCUUGCCCGGAUGCAGCAUAUUUUACUCCAGAGUUGUGGUAGCUGACUGGCUCAGAAGUGUCUGGAAUCCCUUUGGACCCAUAAUCUAACUGGCCAGCUCCCUGGGGAUAAGGGGGCCCAUUCUUUGACUCACAGAACUGCCUAUGGCUUGCUUCUUGGUGUGCCCUGUGCUCAGGGAGACUGCAGCCCAUGUCAGGAAGCUUCCUGCUCCUCAGGCUGCUCUGCUUCUGAGGCAGGGAUGGCUUCUCCGGCUGCGUGCUACCAUGGCCUCCGUGAUGGUGGGCUCUGUCCAUCUCUGCCUCAGGAUGCCUCCUAUAGAAGCGGUCCUCUCCCUCGGGACUGAUGGCCUUGGCUGCAUGGCGGCUCUCCUUUCCUUCUGCCACUGAGAGAAGUCCAGUUUUCCCAGGAUCUGAUUUACUACGCAGAUGGAUGACAUAGAUCCCACCCAAGUCGUCCUGCACCGCCGGGGUCAUGUUAUCAUAUUGGGACAUGACAGGCCCUUUCACCUUCUGCCGAGCACGGCUCUCUCUCCGGAUGGACUGCAUGCGGUAUUUUUCCAUGUCCUCAAGAUCCCAUGAGGUGUAGGUGUGCUUUACAUCAGCAGCCGGAGGCAUGCUGACUACAUUAUGGUCGUUGGGAGAGAAAUAGCCAGUCACGUUGGCCCGGGGACGUGGAGCCAAACCAGCAUAACUGUACAAGCUCUUUCCUUGCAGCCUAGGAUUGUAGAAAGCAAAGUCUCGAUUGGGAAGGCGGUGAAGGGGUCUCAACUGAACUGUGCCAUAGGCAUCCACAUCACACAGGGCCCCAUCUGGACUGUAAUAGGAACUAGAAGAACUGGAAUAUGGGCUAUACCUGUAGUGGACCCGGCCAUUCUCAAAGUAAGGCUGAAGCUGAGUGACAUGAUAAUCUGAGCGGGCCUGGGAGGACUGAUAUGGCUUAUAUUGGUACAGGGGUCUUGGGCAGUAGGCUGGCUCAUCAUCUGGGGGAACUUCUGUCCGUGAAAUGGGAACAGAGCGAAUCAUGGAAGACGGUGGAGCAUGGAGAGACUGCACUCUCCGGAUGGUAGGGUACGGUGGAAUGUCUUCGGGGUAACAGGUAUUCCUGACAGAGGAGCUCAAAGAAGACACAUACUCGACCCGGCUGCAUGGCUUGGAGUGGUGUCCAGAUGCGUUUCUUCCUGGGGCCACAUAUGUGUUAUAACGAAGACCCAUGGAGGCUGGUGGCUCUGACCUGGCACCAUACACUUGGUGCUGCUCCAAUUUAUUGUGAUGGGGAGGUACACUCUGGGGACGGUACUGGCAGUUUGGAGUCAUAUUGAAAUGCAAACAGUUUUCUGGACCAAAGGGUUCAGUGGUGACAUCGGGCCUAGCAAAGGAGGAGUAAACUGUUUUCUGAGAAGCAUGCUUAGGUUGUGGGACAGGAAGUGGUAAAGGCAAUGCAUCGUCCACAGAGGCGGAUGAAGCAGUGACAAAGGAAUGAUAAUUUGAACUGCUGGCGGCAUCUGCACUGCUGGAGUGUAUGGCAGCAACCAUCUUACUCUCCAUCAUCCUGGUGGGGGGCAGUGGUGCAGGAAAGCCACAGGGAUGCGCAGAGACAGACUCGGCGCGCAGGUGCAGCAGCGGGACCCGGGCACCGUCCCGCACUUUCUCAGGCAGGCCUGGCUGGACAGCUGUAGCCAUGGGACACUGAGCAGCAGCAGCACCACCGUCACUGAUGAAGGCAGACGCAGGGUCAUCCAUGGCUCGAGGUUCAGGUGGCCUCUCUGGAACUGGAACUACUCCGUGAACCUAUUGAAAGAUGAUAAUACUAUGGGUCUAUUUUUUGUUCCCUCUAUGAAUCAAGUACUAUUAAAUUUGUAACUCACAAAUUAAGGCUGGUUGGGUAGCAGCUUGAAC
rnacentral:lncRNA from 1 species